rnacentral:ncRNA from 2 species
UAUCUUUUUUAAAGUUUCACUUAUAUAUCGUCGAAAUAAGGUCGACAGUCUCUACCCAAUACCGUAAAUAUUGGACUAUAAGUAAAAAACGUGUUUUU